GUCUCCAUGGUCUAGUUGGUCAAGACGUCGGUCUCAUAUCUUACCUUCUCCUUGUAAGGAACAAAUAUGAAGUUCAGGAAACUGAAUUAAAUCGAUAUCCGAAGGUCGUGAGUUCGAUCCUCACUGGGGACA
rnacentral:tRNA from 1 species